AGAGGAGCCGCCUGAGCAGGUAGACAGACGGAGAGACCCUUCGUGAAGAUCACAGCUUUAACAGAGGAACUAGAGGAAUAUACGACUUUACAGCGGAUUUAAACGGCCUGACAGCGGUGAAGAGACUAUUAUGGAAAUGCAAGAGGAAAACCAAAGGCCUGAGGACAGCCAGCUGAUUUCUGUCCCUCACAAGGAUACGAUCCGUCUGCUGGAGGUGUACGUCAAGCGCAGCCUCAGCCUGAACGACGGCUCGCUGGGAGAUAAGAGGGCCGGCAAGAAGGAGAAGUGGGUGACCAUGCCAAAAAGACAUCGGCGACAUUCCAGCGACCCGUCCCUUCACUUGGCCGAGGGGUUGAAUGACGGGGACAUCGGUGUGUUUUCUGUGGUUGAACCUCCGAAAAAUUUGCCCGAGACGUGUCCUGAAGAACCAGAAAAGCCCAAAAAGAAGAAAAAGAAGACCAAGAAACCCUCACUGUGGAAGAGUUUUGUUGGACUUUUCUCUCAGAAGAGCAGCAAGGACAAAGAGGACGACGAAGAGGAGGACAGCCCGCCAGAGAUGUCCGAGUCCACAGUCCCCACGACGCCCUUCCAGUCCACGACUCCGGUCACCUUACGCAAGAAAGCCAUGAAAAGGAAGUCCAUAAGAAGGAGGUUCUCAAAAAGACGGUUAUCUCUGAUAAAACCAAAUAAACCCGGUAAAGAUCUGAACCUCGAUGACAUCACUGGAGUGGAAGCUGUCAUCAGUGUGGAACCAACAUACUCUUAUUACGAGAAAGUGACAGAGGAGCUGGAAAAAAUAGUCCACGAGGUCAAAGAGGAAGCCAGACCUCUUUCAGAUGCUGAGAGACAACCCCACCCUGAACAACUUCUUCCAGCGGAUGACGUACUCUUCCUUCCAGAAGCUGGCCGAUGAUUACCUGCAGAAAGAAGCGUCGCCGACCCACAGUCCUCCCACCGUCCUCCCAACAGCACCGGAGCUGGUCAAACUGGCCUUCACGCUCGACUUCACGGCCAGGAUAGCCGGACUCUCCAGACAGAACGUCGGCCACAUCACUGGUCUGGGGAACCGAUAUCUACAGGACCGGUUUAAAUACAGUCAGGCCUGCACAGAUCACCCAUGGUCCGACAGUGAUGACUGAGAUGGCGGCGUGCAGAGACAAAGCUGCAAGUGAUGUCUUUCCUCUCAGUGCCACAGGUGUGGUUCAGAAUGUGUUGCAAGCAUAAGUUCCUCUUUACAAACUCUAGAAACAAGGCACUACAUCAGACAAGUUGUUAGCCGGGGAACAGGCACACAACUUGCUGCCAUUUUUAUUUGGUUUUUACUAUUUUGUGAUUGAAUAGUUUUGCUGCAACGGCAUGUUUACUGAGCACACAGCCUGGAAGGUUUGACUGUGUGAGUUUGUGUACAUAAGUGUUGACUUUCACAUGAAAGGUCAACGCAGAAACCGAGACCUUAGUAAGCCUUGUGCUAAAACAUGAUAUUGCAUGAGAAAAGCAACAUUUCAGAAUCACAACAGGUCAAUGGUUCUACAGGCAGCACUUUAAAUAUUACACUCUUUUUGCCAAAUUGAAUUGUGCACAUUGAUUUGUAGUGAUACAAAAGAGCAGUGCAAUAGCCUUUAAUGUAUAUAAGCUAGAAACUUUGCUAGUUUAAAAAAAUAAAAAAACUUUUUAUGUUUAGCUAAUUUAAAAUGUGACAAUGUUUGUUAUUGUGAAUGCUGGCAUUCAUGUUACGAACUCAAACAAAAUAAAAAAAAACUACUUAAUUUAAUAUUCAA
ensembl:lncRNA